rnacentral:rRNA from 1 species
GACGGAGGAUGCAAGUGUUAUCCGGAAUCACUGGGCGUAAAGCGUCUGUAGGUGGUUUAAUAAGUCAACUGUUAAAUCUUGAGGCUCAACUUCAAAAUCGCGGUCGAAACUAUUAGACUAGAGUAUAGUAGGGGUAAAGGGAAUUUCCAGUGGAGCGGUGAAAUGCGUAGAGAUUGGAAAGAACACCAAUGGCGAAAGCACUUUACUGGGCUAUCACUGACACUGAGAGACGAAAGCUAGGGUAGCAAAUGGG